rnacentral:lncRNA from 1 species
CUUUUUUCAUUUUUUUCUUCACUUUUCUCCAGCCUUCCUCUCUCUCUCUCCUUCCUUCCUCCUUGCUUUCUUUAUAUGCCUUAUCUUCUGAGAAGGUUGACCCCAGUUCCGGCGAUAGACGGACACUAAGCCCCCCUUGAGUGACUAGAAAGGCAGGGGACAUAGGAACAGUUAGGACAUAAGGGAAGAGUAAAGAGAGGGACCCCUGAUUUUGAUUUCAGGGUGCCCUGUUUGUCUCAUCCAAUAUCCUGAAGACCCAAGAUGGAGACCAGCUACUUGUCCCUUCCAAAAAGCUUCCCUGGCCUUAAUGUCAGUGCUUGUAGGUGAUCUCAGAAACCUCCCUGGUGAAGAAAACCUGAAGACGGGGUCUUGCUCUGUUGCCUGGCUGGAGUGCAGUGGUGCUAACAUGACUCACUGCACCCUUGACCUCCUGGACUCAAGUGAUCCUCCCACCUCAGCCUCCCAAGUAGCUGGGACUCCAAGUGGGUGCCACUACAGCCAAACCUUCAGACCUGUAGAUGGGCUCUUCUUGGACAUUCUGGAGUCCCUGGGGGAAAGGGAAGUCUGAAGCUCAGUUGGCCAC